UAUGAAUAUAAUUUUUUUUCUCAAACUAAAUGGAGCUUAAGCCCUUUUUUAACUCCGCCAAUGCAACUUCUUGCAUUGCCGGUCCCAAGCCCAGGUAAAGGAGGAGGGAGAAGGGCGUCAAGGUGAGUUGUGUCCUCUUAUUCAUGACAAAUAUGUCCCUUUGAAAUAUGCAUGUUUUAGGAUGAGUUGUUGUGUCCUUUUCUCCACUAGAAUGCAGGACCAUUUUAUGAAUGGGUAGGAGCAAGACUAACUAGUGUCAAAAUAGCAGGAUUCGACAAUGGAACCCUUGACUUGUUAUCUAGUAGAUGGAUCUUACAAGAUAACCAUAGAGAUUGUGUACAUCCAUUUAGUUUUUAUUACUGUAAAUUCUAGGGUCCUGAUGUUUCCUUUGUGUGUGUGUGUGUUGACUGGGACGUCGAAGUUUCUGAUCGAUUCUUUCGAUGAUAGCAAUGAUUUGUACUGAUUUCUAGUGAUUUCCAGUAAUGAUCAGUCACUUUCUCUGUAGUUAAAGAGAUUUCUUAGUUUCUGGACUCUUAUUUUUCUUGUGGUUCAUCUUGUGGUUUUAUUAGCUUAGGCCUGACUUAUGUUUAUAGUGUAAGUUCAAGCAUACAUUCAGCUGAACUGCAGUAGAUGCAGCCCCAAAACUGCAGCCAGUGGAAUCCCCUAUUAUUUAUGAUGCCUACAAGCUUCUUGCUGUGCCUUCUCCAAUUGGUGUCAGUAUCUCGUGCUCUUGGCCUGAACAAUUUUUUUGUUCCUAGUGAAAGCAGUUGCAACACAAUUAUAUUUUGGCGAAUUAUCAUGUUGGGAGGGAUGGUGCUGUGUAGUUUGGAUUUGUUGGGAGUCCAGAAACAUGCACAUCAGUGAUUUUACGCAUCUUAUAUUAUUCUUUUAUUGUAUGCAGACUUAAAGGAGUGUUGAUAUGUUGCUCCAUGGUAAAAAGCUCAUGGUUGAGAUGAUGCCUUACCCUGCUGUAACUGGAACAAGAUGAGAGCUGACUGCAAAUAGUUGGUUCUCAUGGAUGUUAAUGUAGAUGGCUGGUCAUAUCGCAUGACACGACUUCUAGAUGAGCAAAUCUAGGGAUUUUGACAUAUGUUAUCAGCCUUCUAUUUGCUUUAGUUUCAAAAAACCAUAAAGAAAUUGGAUGUUCCACAAGAAUCACCUACUACGAGAUCCCAUCACCAUGGCUUCAGGGUUGUCUAGAGACUUGAACUUUCAAAGUCUAAAGCUUCAGUUUUGACAUCGGUUAGCUGCAGUGCCUAAACCCACUAGACAUUUCAAUUGUUAAUCUAGAAUUCCAUUUAUGAUAAGGGCAUCACAACCAUUGGCAAUUCAUUCUUUUUCUUGGGUAGUCGUUUGGGAGACGGUCUUCUUGUGCAAUAUAGUUGUGGAACUACAACAAUGCCUUC